rnacentral:ncRNA from 19 species
UGCGAUGAUGAGUGAUGGGCGAACCGACCGGUGAGGAAGGAAAGGUGAUCGCUGAGC